rnacentral:rRNA from 1 species
AAAAAAUGACUCUCGGCAACGGAUAUCUCG